rnacentral:lncRNA from 1 species
GUUCAUGAGGGCGGAUCCUCCGUUCCAAAACCUUUUUCAAGACAGAGGAACCAUCCGGUUGAAAUAUUACUGAAUCUUCACGUUCUAAAGGCCCAAAGAUUGAUGUUGUACAACGUUUGACAUGUUUGAACGAACGUAAAUACAACUUUUCUUAAACUUUUCGUCGUGACAUCGUCCGCGAACUUCCUACAUUUGGAGUAGCUUACUGAACGCGUGAACAACAAGGAGUUAUUUGGACAUAAAUUAUGGACUUUAUCGAACAAAACAACAUUUGUUGUGGACCUGGGAUUCCUGGAAGUGCCUUCUGAUGAAGAUCAUCAAAGGUACUGAAGAGGUUGCCACAUGCGGACACAGUGGUGACUGACAGGCCUUGACAUCCACUGAGCGUUUUGAAGAACAAACACCAGGAGAUUUGGUUGAAAGGUUACAGACAUUCUCAUAACAACGCGGCUGCUGACAACUCGUACAUAGGGUCCGAC